rnacentral:rRNA from 1 species
CCUACGGGAGGCUGCAGUGGGGAAUAUUGCGCAAUGGGCGAAAGCCUGACGCAGCGACGCCGCAUGAGGGAUGAAGGUCUUCGGAUCGUUAACCUCUGUCAGCAGGGAAGAACGGUCACUGUGCUAAUCAGCAGUGAAUUGACGGUACCUGCAAAGGAAGCACCGGCUAACUCCGUGCCAGCAGCCGCGGUAAUACGGCGGGUGCGAGCGUUAAUCGGAAUUACUGGGCGUAAAGCGCUCGUAGGCGGUAUGUCAAGUCACGGGUGAAAUCCCCGCGCUCAACGUGGGAACUGCCUUUGAAACUGGCAAACUGGAGUGUGUGAGAGGAUAGUGGAAUUCCAGGUGUAGGAGUGAAAUCCGUAGAUAUCUGGAGGAACAUCAGUGGCGAAGGCGACUAUCUGGCACAUAACUGACGCUGAGGAGCGAAAGCGUGGGUAGCAAACAGGAUUAGAUACCCUUGUAGUC